rnacentral:pre_miRNA from 1 species
UAGCUACUCCCUCCGUCUGGAAAUACUUGUCAUCAAAAUGGAUAAAAAAAGAUGUAUCUAGACGUAUUUUAGUUCUAGAUAUAUCUUUUUUUUAUCCAUUUUGAUCACAAGUAUUUUCGGACGGAGGGGGUAUAAU